rnacentral:rRNA from 1 species
AGAGUUUGAUUAUGGCUCAGGAUGAACGCUGGCGGCGUGCCUAAUACAUGCAAGUCGAACGGAGAGUACAUACUUCGGUUUAUACUCUUAGUGGCGAACGGGUGAGUAACGCGUUGGUGACCUGCCCCGAAGAGGGGGACAACAGCUCGAAAGGGCUGCUAAUACCCCAUGUGGUCGUACAGGUUAGAGGCUGAACGACUAAAGGAGUAAUCCACUUCGGGAGGGGCCUGCGUCCCAUCAGCUAGUUGGUAAGGUAACGGCCUACCAAGGCGAAGACGGGUAGGGGGCCUGAGAGGGUGGCCCCCCACACUGGCACUGAAACACGGGCCAGACACCUACGGGUGGCAGCAGUAGGGAAUAUUGCACAAUGGGCGAAAGCCUGAUGCAGCAACGCCGCGUGCGCGAAGAAGGCCUUCGGGUUGUAAAGCGCUUUUCUGGAGGAAGAGAAAGGACGGUACUCCAGGAAUAAGGAUCGGCUAACUACGUGCCAGCAGCCGCGGUAACACGUAGGAUCCGAGCGUUAUCCGAAUUUACUGGGCGUAAAGCGCGUGUAGGCGGCCGGGUAAGUUGGACGUGAAAGCUCCUGGCUCAACUAGGAGAGGUCGUUCAAAACUGCCUGGCUAGAGGGCGACAGAGGGAGGUGGAAUUCCCGGUGUAGUGGUGAAAUGCGUAGAUAUCGGGAGGAACACCAGUGGCGAAGGCGGCCUCCUGGGUCGCCCCUGACGCUCAGACGCGAAAGCUAGGGGAGCGAACGGGAUUAGAUACCCCGGUAGUCCUAGCUGUAAACGAUGUGGACUUGGCGUUGGUGGGGUCAAAUCCAUCAGUGCCGUAGCUAACGCGAUAAGUCCACCGCCU